rnacentral:rRNA from 1 species
GACGAACGCUGGCGGCGUGCUUAACACAUGCAAGUCGAACGGAAAGGCCUUUUCGGAGGUACUCGAGUGGCGCACGGGUGAGUAACACGUGGGUGAUCUGCCCUGCACUCUGGGAUAAGCCUGGGAAACUGGGUCUAAUACCGGAUAGGACCGCACUUUAGUGUGUGUGGUGGAAAGUUUUUUCGGUGUAGGAUGAGCCCGCGGCCUAUCAGCUUGUUGGUGGGGGAAUGGCCUACCAAGGCGGCGACGGGUAGCCGGACUGGGAGGUUGGUCGGCCACAUUGGGACUGAGAUACGGCCCAGACUCCUACGGGAGGCAGCAGUGGGGAAUAUUGCACAAUGGGCGCAAGCCUGAUGCAGCGACGCCGCGUGGGGGAGGACGGCCUUCGGGUUGUAAACUCCUUUCGCCAGGGACGAAGCGUUUUGUGACGGUACCUGGAGAAGAAGCACCGGCUAACUACGUG